AGAAGGAGAAUUUAGUUAGCUUGGUUAGUUAGCUAGAUUCUUUUUAGUUACUUAGUGGUAGAUUCUGUUUUUAUUAUUUUGUUGUUGUUUAGUGCUAUCUAGGUUUAGCGAUAGGUUUAGUUAGCUUGGUUAGUUAGGUUAGUUAGUUAGUUAGCUUAAUAGAAAGAAUAGGACGAAAAAGAAGUGGAGGAGGAGGAGAAGAGGAGAAGAGGAGGAGGAGAAGAAGAAGAAGCAGAAGAAGAAGAAGAAGAAGAAGAAGAGGA
rnacentral:lncRNA from 1 species